GGCCCGUUGGUCAAGCGGUUAAGACACCGCCCUUUCACGGCGGUAACACGGGUUCGAGUCCCGUACGGGUCAUCA
rnacentral:tRNA from 17 species